UGCGUAGGUGGGCAGUUAAGUCAGUGGUGAAAUCUCCGAGCUUAACUCGGAAACUGCCAUUGAUACUAUCUGUCUUGAAUUAUCUGGAGGUGAGCGGAAUAUGUCAUGUAGCGGUGAAAUGCUUAGAUAUGACAUAGAACACCAAUUGCGAAGGCAGCUCACUACGGGUAUAUUGACACUGAGGCACGAAAGCGUGGGGAUCAAACAGGAUUAGAUACCCUGGUAGUCCACGCCCUAAACGAUGGAUACUCGACAUCAGCGAUACACUGUUGGUGUCUGAGCGAAAGCAUUAAGUAUCCCACCUGGGAAGUACGAUCGCAAGAUUGAA
rnacentral:rRNA from 1 species